rnacentral:tRNA from 1 species
GCCGCUUUAGCUCAGCUGGUAGANNAGAGCAACCGCCUUGUAAGCGGUAGGUCGUCCGUUCGAAUCGGACAAGCGGCACCA